CUUGGAGGCUCUGGGACUGGAGUUAACUCUAUGAGCUCCCACAUGGGUUCUGUGAAUUGAACCCGGGUUCUCUGGAAACGCAUUUAGUACUCUUUCUUAACCACUGAGCCAGCUCUCCAGGCCUGUGCUUUUUUUAAGGCCAAGUCCAUCUCUUCUGUGAAACCUUCUCCAACCAUCAUUGCACAGACUCCCCGAACCUCGGAUCAGUAGCCCCAGGAGCAGGCCUUGGGUUGAAAUUGCCUCACUAGGUUCACGGUCUACCAGGGGGCAGGCCUCUGAGACUUAAGGACUAUCUCAGGAAGGUAGAACUUGCAUCUUAGGUGGUUUGGGUUGCGAGCAAAGCUAGUUCCCGUCCACAUUCCUAGUUUCCCCUUUAGCAGACGCUUGAACCCAGUGCUGCCACCUGCUGGGCAAACACAUUCCCUAUUUUUAAAAAGGCCUAACUAAUUAAAUAGCUUUUAUUUACAAAAGACAAAACCGACUAGCCACGGUCGGUCACAGCAGCAGUAGAAGGCAGUGGUGUAGUGAAGGUCCAGCUGUCUUGGUGACAGGUGUGUGUGCGUCCCCCUCUCCCAGGCUCAGCUUUCGGUCCCCACCCCGCCCCACUAACGGUCCCAAAUUAAGGCACAGCCCGCCCCCUCCCGCCCAGCCUGACCGAGGGGCCCCGCUGGGCCUAGAGCCCGUCCCGGAGCGCACUCAUCACGGAGGCCCGCGCAGAUGGGAGCAAGAGGUCUUUUAGUGCCGCCCCCCGCCGUCCCCAGCUCCGGCUCAGCUCAGCGGUGCGGCAGGCGGGUUAAGGACGAGCCGGAUGCGCUGCACGCACAACUCCGUGGCCUGCCGGGUCUCGCGGCACAGCGCCGCCAGGCUCAGGAAGCCAUGCGGCAGGUCCUCUACCACAUUCAGCGUCACCGGCUGGCCUAGGUCGCGCAGCCGCCGCGCGAACAUGACCGAGUCGUCCAGCAUGGGGUCCAGAGCGCACGCCUGGAGAGAGUGGGGGUCAGGGCUGCUGCCCGAAGGGACACGGUGAUGCAGAGGUUCCCCCCUGCACUGUCUCCUGCAAGGCAUAUCCGCUCUCCUGUUGAACCUAUUGUGGGGAGAAGGGUCCAGUCAUAGCCUGGCAUGACCUGGGAGAACUGGGCUCUCAGGUGGGGGUCCUGUGGUGACCAGCAGUGACUUCACUGGAUGUCUGGGACUCAGAAUCUCCAUCUGUAAGCAUGCUGGAGGCUCUCCCCUGCCCCGGCAGCUCACCGACAACACCUCGAUCUCAGUGAUGUUCCAGAAGGCUUUCCAGAAGUGCACAUCCAGGUUCUGUAUGAUCCGUUCAAACUCAGCCCCACGCAACUCUGGGUCUAUGGCGAAUCGGCCACCAGUGAAGAGGGAACUGGCAGUCACACCUGGGGGUCAGGAGUGUUCCCCGAAGGACACCAGCCCGAUGGAGAGAGUCUGCAGGAACGGCCGGAUGGCAGGUGUGAACUGUGAAGGGAUGCCUGUGUCACCCAACCACCAGGAGACGGAUGAGGAUGGGGCACAAAAGGGGACAGAGACAGGAGUGGGCACAUACACUUAGCAAGCUUUUAAUGUGUUCCUACAGUGUGCUGUGGGCUCACCCUGGGCCCCUUCAUGGACCUGGUGUCCUCAAGGGAAGGAGAUGAUGAACAAAUAAAGAUAUGUGCAGGGGAAUGUCUAACUCAACUAAUGAUCUGAAGAAAGGCACUAGGUGGAUGGGCUGCAGUGAUGACCACGGGCCAGGUUACCUGCCCAGGCUGAGAGCAGGGGUCUGCAUGAGGAGAGGCCAGAGCAAGCACAGAAGCUGAAGAUGCAGUGGCGCACAUGGGUAGUAAGGGAAAGGAGGCAUGGGUCAGAGAGAACGCAAUGGUGUGCCUGGAGCAGAGUAGGCCAAGAACAAGAGCAAGGGAGGUCCUAGAGGCAAAGAAAGCUCUUCUAAGGCCCAGGCUGAGGGACUGGGUUUCAUUCUGAGCAUCUGGAGGGCUGUGGACUGUGGAGUAAGAACACAUAGGCACUUCCUGAAGUCAGAAAGAACAAAGGGGUGAGACAGACAGUUGGGGCUGGGCACAGGGCAACUGAAAGCCAGAAAUGGGGACAUGACACAAGACAGGUCGAGAGAACUUGGGAAGAUCAGCUGAGGCCUAGACAGGGAUAAAUGGCUGUCAGGGAAGACACCUGGCAGGUGGUAGAGGGGAGGACAGACAGGAAGACAAGGAGAGCAGCAGAGGAGACUCAGCCUCGGGAGGCUAAGGAGUUAGCAGAAUUCUUGUUCAUUCUGGAAACUGUUCCACAGCAUGCAGGCUUUGGGAGGGAACAGGGACUGAGCAGUCUCAUCUGAGAUCUAGGGGCUCUGCCUUCCUGGAAGUUGACAUUUUAGAGGGUGAUGCAGUCUUGUGCUCUAGCAGAGCUGGGUCCUCAGGAGCUGGCAGGUGGCCCAGGCCGUGCUCUUGGCCAGGAACCCAGUAGGCCAAAGAGCACAGGAGCUGGCCUUUGUGGCUAGGACACUGAUUCAGGCAGCCUGGAACUUCUUGAUUUCCAGUGUUGAUGCCAGGGCAUGAAAGCAGGGAGAUGGCUAGCUCUGCUGGCCAGAUCAGUGUUUGUAGGUUUAUUUGGGUGAGGGAAGAACCCCAGAAAUAAUUGUGUUGGGCUGCUCAGGCCCAGGAAGCCUGGAGUGAUAGACAGGGACAGGGAAGCUGAAAGAGUGGUGGGCUCAUCUCUCGGUGAAGCGAGAGGAGGUCCUGAGUGGGCACAAGGACCAAAGCAUCACAUAGCUCCUGGAAUCCUUGCUGAGGUUCCUUCAUACAGCUGGUUGGGGUUGCCUGGAGCUAGCAUGACCCCAGACAAGGGCCUCCAUUCUGAUUUUAGUUUUCUAUGUUCCCCAGUUUUCUAGUCCCCAAAUCAAUCAUUUAGUUAUUUAUUUUUGAGACAGGGGUCUUUCUAUGUAGCUUUGGCUUGCCUGGUACAUCUGAUGUAGCUCAGGCUAGCCUCUAUCUCUAAAUAGUUCUGAGGGUAUUAGAUUGCCUCAAUUUCCACGUGGUGACAGGCUGCAUCUCUCUGAGGUGGUUUGGGAUGGGCAAAAGGUAGGAGAAGGCCCACAGCUAGGGUCAGAAUGUCUCGUUCAGGGAAGAGAUUAACCACAACCAGGUCUUCGUUGUCACCAACUCUGAUGGAUGAGUUGGUCCUGUCCUAAAGGCUGCCUAGAAAUCAUGUGGUUUCUACAGUGACAAAGCCCAGGUGCCAAUCUGCUAUCUGUGGGCUGGCACCUUCUUCCAUAUGGUCCAGAAUCCCAGGCAGGGGUGCACUCACACAGAAUGGACCUCUGAGAUCAAUACUGAUUACCUUCCUAGGCACUCAGACUCAAAUGAACCUCAGGGUUCAGUGGGCUGGAGAUACAGCUCAAUGGUGUGCUCACCUAACACUCGUAAUACUUGAAGGAAAAAGAAAAAGAGCAAAUGAAUCUCUUCUCCCCCCCCCACCUUUUGCUGGGUUGAAGCUCUGGCCUCAUGCAUGUUUGACAAGUGUUUUAUCACUGAGUUGUGGCCCCAGCCUUCUUGUUACUUUUGAGACAGGGUCUCCCUAAGAUACCAAGGUUGGCUUUCAUCUCACUCAGUAAGCUCAGCCAGGCCUUGGACUUGCAAUCCUCCUGCCUCAGCUUCCCAAGUAGUUGGGAUGUAACAGGCCUGAGUUACCAAAUCCAGCUGGUGAAGAGGUUUCUGAUACAUGGUAGGUCUAUCUAGUCAUGGCUCAUGAGUUGGAGACCUUGGAGUCCAGCUCUGAGCUCCUGCCAACUCUCCCUGCCAAUCUGUGCUCUGAUUUCCGAAUCCAGCCACUGUGGUGGCUGUGGCUCUACUUCAAGGAUAGGUUACCAGUGCCUUCACUGUGAAUCCAGGAGGACAUGGGGCAAGGGACUCACCUGGAAGCCCAGGCAGCGGCCGUAGAAGCAGCCUUUAUGUAGAGUGACAUACUCUUGCAGGAAGUCAGCGGUAAGUCCUUCAUCACCCUCAAAGAAGAGCACCCCUGGUCGGUUGAUAGCCAGCAGGCGCUGAGCGUAGUAGGCCAGGGCACGGAGCUGGGUGAGAGCAGCCAGGUAGGCCUCCAGUUCUGCUAGGUUGUGGCUGGCACGGAAAAAGAUACUUCGGCGAUUGGAGGCCACAUAGCGGGAUUUGUGUAGUAGGUGUGCUAGGCAGCAACGGGCUGUGUGCACCAAGCUACGGUAUCCAUUGGCUGGUGUCUCUGUGUCCAGGUCAAAAUGGUGUGCCACACCCAACAAGUGGCCUAGGGUUGGCUCCAGCCCCAGUGCCUGUUCUCGGACACCUGCAAAGACAUUGGACAGCCGCCGAGCUGUCUCUCCGGGGCCCUGGCUUGAGAAGAAGGCCGUGUUGUCCUCUGCAAGCGUCACCAGCGACUGUGUCAUUGUGCGCAGAUCCAUGCUGUGUGAGAAUGCCGAGGCUGUGGGGAGAUGGGAAGGUGUGCUGUGAUUACCUUGCUCUGUCAGGCCUGGGAGUCCAGGUCCCACCUUUCCUCCCUCAGGCCCAAGUACUCAAACCCAGGACCAUCCUUGCUUCGAUCCAGAAGUGCAAAGCUGUAGCCUCCUCCUUCAAGGCUCAAGGGUCUAUUCCAAACCUCCUAGAGAUUCAGGGACCUUCCGUUAUCUUCUUUCUCACAACUAGGAUUUUUAUCUCCUCUCUCCCGAGGUCUGGGGCCUCAACCUCUUUCUGCUUACCUGCUGGGAGUGGAAACUCCCAGACUUUUCCUUGCUCUGCCCUCUCCUUCUCGGAUCUAGGACUCCAGUCUCCUAAACCCCAGAGGACUUGGUUCACCAGUGCUGCUCCCUACCCCAGAAGCCGGCCCACCCUCUUCCUCUUCCUUCCAGGUAUUCAAGGGUGAACUCUAUCUUUGUUUACUCUCUUUAGAUUUGUCCUUGUUCCAGGAAAUCUGGAUGCCCGACGGUUCCCUUUCUCAAGACCCAUGUGCUCAAGCCCCAUCCCGGUUCCUUUUCAGUCUCCUGGUGUUGCCCACAAGCCCUUCCCUUCUAACAGUGAUGGGGAUGUUAACCCCCCAGUUCAGCCGUUACUGUCUCCUAGGACUUCCCUCCACACCUAGCCCUCCUUUUGAGCCCUGACCAUAAUUCCAGCAUCUCUGCACCAAGAACUCUCUCCUGGUCACUCCAGCUUGCCUGUAAAAUCCCCUCCAAACU